rnacentral:rRNA from 1 species
UGGGGAAUAUUGGACAAUGGGGGCAACCCUGAUCCAGCGAUGCCGCGUGGGUGAAGAAGGCCUUCGGGUUGUAAAGCCCUUUAGGUUGGGAAGAAGUUUAUGUGAGGCAAUGCGCAUAAAUUGACGGUACCAACAGAAUAAGCACCGGCAAACUCUGUGCCAGCAGCCGCGGUAAUACAGAGGGUGCGAGCGUUAAUCGGAAUUACUGGGCGUAAAGGGCGCGUAGGCGGUUACACACGUGUGAUGUGAAAGCCCCGGGCUUAACCUGGGAAGUGCAUCGCAAACGUUGUAACUGGAGUAGAUGAGAGGGUGGCGGAAUUUCCGGUGUAGCGGUGAAAUGCGUAGAGAUCGGAAGGAACGUCGAUGGCGAAGGCAGCCACCUGGCAUCAUACUGACGCUGAAGCGCGAAAGCGUGGGUAGCGAACAG